GCCCUCUUGAGCUCUUGUGGUGACCUGGGAAUCAAUGUGUGAGGUGGUGCUAUGUAGCAGGAACCCCUCUUGCUUUGCAAAUAGUUUUUUGUUUGUUUUCCUUUUUGCCCAAUAGAGCCCUGCUCUACUGACCCUUCAAUGUGCCCGUGUGCCUAAAUAUUCCUGGUCGUGUGAAAAGAACCCAGCAGUCAAGCUCAACUUGCAGAACUGAUGGGAACCCCUUGGGAAAACUGGCCUCAAAUGUUUGUCUACACAGUCCACAUACAGGGUUCUUAACCUGCGACUGACCCUGCUUGUGCCUGUGAACCAACCAACAAUCUCUGGCUGCAGCUCAGAAAGGACAAAAGAGAAUGGAUGAGGGAAACUUCCCAGGGCUUGUCUGGGUAUGCCCACAGUGGACUGGAGCCCAAAAUGCACACUGGAGGAAGUGGAUGGAGCCACGUGGAUGUCAUGCCUUAUGCAGGGGAGGAGCCUGCUCUCUUCAGCUCCUGUGGUAAUGUGGGAAUCGAUCUGUGAGGUGAGGACCUGUUAGCAGGAACCCCUCUUGCUUUGCUGAAAGUUUUAUUUUUCUUUUUGCCCUAUAAAACCCUGUUCUACUAACCCUUCAAUAUGUCUGCAUUCCUAAAUUUUCCUGGUCAUGUGACGAGAACCUAGGUUUUAGCUGAACUAAGGAGCAAAAUUCUGCAACAUAAAGUCAAAGAAAACUAUGCCUAUAUCCAUUAAAUCAAAUGUUAAAAAGCAAAUAUAAAGAAAAAGUCUUCACAGCCCUAGAGAAAAGUGAAACAUUGUACAUAAAGAAGUAAUAAUUUGAAUGGAUUGUCAGAAACCAUGACUAGAAGACAGAGGAGCAAUAUUUUCAAAUUUCAUAGAGAAAGGAAAAAAA
rnacentral:lncRNA from 1 species